rnacentral:rRNA from 1 species
UACAGAGGGUGCAAGCGUUGUUCGGAAUCACUGGGCGUAAAGGGCGCGUAGGCGGCUCGGUAAGUAGGGGGUGAAAUCCUGCGGCUUAACCGCAGGGCUGCCUUCUAAACUGUCGAGCUCGAGCACGGUAGAGGCAGAUGGAAUUCCCGGUGUAGUCGGUGGAAUGCGUAGAGAUCGGGAGGAACACCAGUGGCGAAGGCGACUUCCUGGCCUGUUCUUGACGCUGAGGCGCGAAAGCUAGGGGAGCAAACGGG